GAAAUUCAAAAGACGCCGCUAUUUCCGGGAGGCAGCUAGCAAAGGGAGAAUGUGUUACUACGUUAUCCCAAGAAAGGAACAAAACUGCACUAAAACACAACACAAAGAAAGCAAAUGUUAAUCAGUUGAACCAGAAGAUAAUCGAUGAAAGACUAAACAAACGGUAAGCAUAAACAAAAAACCACGCACCUGGGAUGCAAUGUCGCAAGAGAGAAAAAGAGAGGAGGAAGACGAUAAAGAUAUCACAAACAACAAUAGAAUGCCGCAACAAAAAGAAGAUGUGCCGAAAGGGAGAAAAAGAAGAGUGCCGCGAGAGAAAAAGGAGAAGAGGAAGAGGAAGAUAUCAGAAACUGAAUGCCGCGAAGAGUUUGCAGUCCAUUUAAAAUGAAACUCGGCGUCGGUUUCUCCAGAUAGCCGAUGUUUAUAUGACUAUAGACGUCAGUUCUGUUACUAAUUCGACGUCCAAGUUAACUUUUCAACUGACCUUUUGAAUCCCACUAGACAUCGGUGACAAUGGGAACCAACGUCUAGGAAGCUGAAACGAUUGACAUUUGAUUUCCUGUCAGGGAUGUUGACAACAGUUGUGAUGGGGCGCCGACGUCUUUAAUGAUGCACAUCAUUACUUACAGGCACAUAGACGUCGGUGCCCCUUCUAGCCAACGUCUAUGGCCCUCGAAUUUGGUUAAUCUAAUUAAUUACAGGCACUUAGACGUCGCGUGCACAACCGACAUCUAAAUUGAAUAUUUUUUAUCUUUCCCGCCUUCCAUAUUCAGGCCUUAGACGUUGCCGGUUGACUAAGCGACGUCUAAGCGUCUGGGAAUUAGGUGAAAGCAUUAAUUGCAGGCCUAUAGA
rnacentral:lncRNA from 1 species